UCCUACGGGAGGCAGCAGUGGGGAAUAUUGCACAAUGGGCGCAAGCCUGAUGCAGCCAUGCCGCGUGUAUGAAGAAGGCCUUAGGGUUGUAAAGCUCUUUUCUCCGGGACGAUAAUGACGGUACCGGAGGAAUAAGCCCCGGCUAACUUCGUGCCAGCAGCCGCGGUA
rnacentral:rRNA from 1 species